rnacentral:lncRNA from 1 species
UUCCCCAAACGCAGGCGCUCGGUGGCGGUAGCCGCGGUUGUUGGCCGACCGAGUGCCGGUCAUAAGCCCCCCCCGGUGGGGGGCAGCUGGUGUGCGGAUCGCGGCGGGAGAGAGGCGCGGUAGGAACGGGUCCCCGGAGCCGUGAACCGCGGGUACAGGUGUCCUGUCUGCGCUCUCUGCCAAGCCGGCUUGCUUCCUGAUCUGUUGCUAGGGCCGCUGGACCCCGUUGCUAAGGACCCUUGAGAUCGUGAGCGCUUGGAGUGUACCCCUCCUUUCCUGGGGUAGAGGGUCAGUCGAGAGUAGCCUUCGUUAACCUUAAUUGAAACUGAAUUGGCUCCAGGACUCCCUCCCUCCCCCCAGUCUCUUUCAGAUACCCAAAUCCACCCAUGCCAAAGUCCUCCAGUCUGCUCUCCGUAUCCGUGGUUGGGUCAAAUCUAUAGAUGUGGAACCCGCAUAUACGGAGAGCCAACUGUAAUUUGUCGUUAAGUUUGUUACAGGAACAACUUUUUGACGUGAAGGAAGAUAGAAAUUUAGCCAUAAAAU